UACGAAGGGGGCUAGCGUUGCUCGGAAUCACUGGGCGUAAAGAGCUCGUAGGCGGCUUGUCACGUCGGUUGUGAAAGCCCGGGGCUUAACCCCGGGUCUGCAGUCGAUACGGGCAGGCUAGAGUGUGGUAGGGGAGAUCGGAAUUCCUGGUGUAGCGGUGAAAUGCGCAGAUAUCAGGAGGAACACCGGUGGCGAAGGCGGGACUCUGGGCCGAUACUGACGCUGAGGAGCGAAAGCGUGGGGAGCAAACAGG
rnacentral:rRNA from 1 species